GACGAACGCUGGCGGCGUGCUUAAUACAUGCAAGUCGUACGAGGCUGUCCCUGGCUUGCCAGGGGCUGACCUAGUGGCGAACGGGUGAGUAACACGUGAGGAACCUACCCCAGAGCCGGG
rnacentral:rRNA from 1 species